rnacentral:rRNA from 1 species
CAAUAGCGUAUAUUAAAGUUGUUGCAGUUAAAAAGCUCGUAGUUGGAUUUCUGGUGGGAGCGAUCGGUCUGGCGCUUAGCGCGAGUACUUGCAUCGUCUCCGGCCAUCCUUGGGGAGAGUCUGUCUGGCAUUAGGUUGUCGGGCAGAGGAUCCUCAUCGUUUACUGUGAAAAAAUUAGAGUGUUCAAAGCAGGCUUAUGCCGUUGAAUAUAUUAGCAUGGAAUAAUAAGAUAGGACUUUGGUACUAUUUUGUUGGUUUGCGAACCAAAGUAAUGAUUAAUAGGGACAGUUGGGGGUAUUCGUAUUCCGUUGUCAGAGGUGAAAUUCUUGGAUUUACGGAAGACGAACUACUGCGAAAGCAUUUACCAAGGAUGUUUNCAUUA